rnacentral:sRNA from 1 species
UGGCAAAGUGCUUGCCGACCUCAACCGCCAC